AGUCACUGACAUUAGAUACCCCCGUAGUCCAGGGUGUAAACGCCGCAGACUUGGUGUUGGGAACCCUUCGGGGGUGCUCAGUGCCGGAGAGAAGUUGUUAAGUCUGCUACUUGGGGAGUACGUCCGCAAGGAUGAAACUUAAAGGAAUUGGCGGGGGAGCACCGCAACGGGAGGAGCGUGCGGUUUAAUUGGAUUCAACGACCGAAAAACUCACCAGCAGCGACUGUUACAUGAAAGUCAGGUUGAUGACCUUACUAGAUUUUCAG
rnacentral:rRNA from 1 species